CUAAUUCGAGUGGAAUAUGCUUCACACGCAUGAGGUCACAGGUUCGAGUCCCGUAGUCUCCACCA
rnacentral:tRNA from 1 species